rnacentral:rRNA from 1 species
GAUGAACGCUGGCGGCGUGCCUAAUACAUGCAAGUCGAGCGAACAGACGAGGAGCUUGCUCCUCUGACGUUAGCGACGGACGGGUGAGUAACACGUGGAUAACCUACCUAUAAGACUGGGAUAACUUCGGGAAACCGGAGCUAAUACCGGAUAAUAUAUUGAACCGCAUGGUUCAAUAGUGAAAGACGGUUUUGCUGUCACUUAUAGAUGGAUCCGCGCCGCAUUAGCUAGUUGGUAAGGUAACGGCUUACCAAGGCGACGAUGCGUAGCCGACCUGAGAGGGUGAUCGGCCACACUGGAACUGAGACACGGUCCAGACUCCUACGGGAGGCAGCAGUAGGGAAUCUUCCGCAAUGGGCGAAAGCCUGACGCAGCAACGCCGCGUGAGUGAUGAAGGUCUUCGGAUCGUAAAACUCUGUUAUUAGGGAAGAACAAAUGUGUAAGUAACUAUGCACGUCUUGACGGUACCUAAUCAGAAAGCCACGGCUAACUACGUG